rnacentral:lncRNA from 1 species
CCGCCUGCUCGGCCAGCCGCGCCCGCUGCAGCAGCUGCUCCCGGUCCCCCAUGUCGCUCGCGGCUCGGCCUCGCCUCGCGCCUCACACCGCUGGCUCGCUAGCCCUCCCGCCGGUCAGUCCGCUCCCCGGUCGCUGCGGAGGCCGCCGCCGCGCACGCGCACUGGCUCGCCGGCCGGCCGGAGGCUGCAGGCUGCAGGCUGCAGGCAGCGCCGCCGCUCG